AUGAGUGUCUGUUUCUAGAAGAUU
rnacentral:siRNA from 1 species